UAUUGGUUCACUUUUCGGAAGGAAAUAACACAAAAGAAACGGUUAAGAAAACAACAACGGCUGUUGUUAGUGAAGAGUUUGCAAAGCUUCGUAUUUCCAUACAAAAAAUAUCAAUACAAAUAUCGAUGAAAAAAGUUAGUUGUUCGUUUAGUUGAGAGCUAAACAGUUUAUUUAGUGCCAUAAAAAAAAUUAUCAAACUACGUCAAUUUGUAAAGCAUGUUAUAUUUAUCUAAAAAUCAUAUAUAAGUCGCUAGUGCGUGAAAUCAACACAGUUAUGAGUUCUUGGAAACUUAUUUGUUUAACGGCGUUCAUCUAUAAGUAAUGUGCGCAGCGUAAGUUACAGGUGUAAACAAAUAAUGUGCUAAAAGUACUGUACAUAUAUGUAUUCAUAUUUAUACAUGAACAUAUGUGUCUGUGUCCCAAAGGACGAGUAAUUCGGAGUGUUAUUAUUUUUAAAAUCAUAAAAACACAGUCACUGGUGUCGUUGAAACACGUAAAUGCAAUUAUACGAAAAUGUAAAAUAUAAUGUCUAAAUGCACUCAUUUACAUUACAGUACGAAACAAGAGUUCAUUAAUUAAAAUUAUGUAUAAUAAAUGUAUCUACAGCAGUUGGAGGGAAUAAGCAAAGGAGUACGAAUAAAGUUAUUACACACUGUUACAGCUGGAUUUUCAUAUAAAUAUCACCUGUGGUUCCAUUUAACUAAUAAAUCGAGUCUUCCGUUGCUGCGUCGAAAUUUAUUCACAUAUCGAAGAAUCUGCAGUUACACAUUUAAUAUUUACAACCAAAUUUACAUAUAUACGUAUGUGCUUCAAUGCGUCUCCCGAACACAUCUGUAGCGAUGGAUGAUAACCCUGCGUGUGUGAGAGUGAGCAAAAGGCGGAAAUUUUUUUUUAAUUAUGCAAUGACGACUAAGCGAUGGCUCAGAAUCGCUCCAUCUACCUCAGUUGUUAACUAAACUGGCGAGGAUGUCGUACUGUUCUUUAUGGUGAUCUUUAUUGCCAUUACGACCAGUACAGUUGCUUCCAACUACUUUGACACUCAAGGGCUUAAUUUCUCGCAUGAGCCACCAUCGCGUAUUUAAUUCACCAACAAUGCUGGCAGCGUUGUCGAUUGUUUGGCCUGCGGGAACCGAACGUCGAAUGGUUGGAUAAGGAUAAAAAUCCCAUCACUUCAAUAUCAAAGAAGUUAAAAAUCACAUGUUACCGACCGGCGAACUUUUGGUGUACAACAUCACACGCACCGAUGCGCACAGAGUUUAUCGCUGCCGCACACAUCACAAUCUAACGCAGGACUCCGUUGUGAACAGCAAAAUUCAAUUGACUGAAAUUCGUCGCCCAUCAUGAAUGAGAAGACUAGUGCCGUGCGUGGCCUAUGCCAACCCGAAGAGAGUUUAUCGCUGGCACACGAAACGGCCAAAUAAUGAGGAAUCCAUACAACAUUUGUUGGCGACAGGUCGUGCGAAAAUUAAGGAAGGCACACUAAUUAUAACCGCGGUCGAUCGGUCCGAUAGCGGCGCCUUCUUCUGCACAGCUACCAACUCGGAGGGUAGCGAAACUUUGGAAGUGCUGUUACAUCGCAACCACUGCCAGCAUACAACCCACCAUACAGACGGUAAAUCUCGGCAAAACAGCAAACUUGAUUUGCAGCAUUUCGGGCUUUCCAAAACAAACUAUUAUAUGGCUGAAGGAUGGUCACCCAUUACGUUCUGGUGCCCUCGUACGUUUACUUUCUACAGAGCAUAUACGCAUUACGUCAAUUACGAAAGAGGACAAGGGAAUGUAUCAGUGUAUUGUGAAAAAUGACUUGGAAUCAACACAAGGCACGGAGAGGUGGCACCACAACUCAUUUAUAAAUUCAUCGAACAAACUAUAGAACCAGGACCAUCAGUAUCGCUGAAAUGUAGUGCUAGUGGCAACCCAACACCAAAAAUCGUCUGGCACUAAGAUGGAUUUCCACUGCCAAAUAUGACGAGCAAGGGACUCAACAAGAUGCCGGUUGUUUGGCCGCCUGCACCCCUGAAUUGUGUCUUCAUUUCAUGCGAUGUAUACUCGUGAGCGCUAUGACAUCCAACACUACCGGAGCGUGUGAGUCAGAAGCCAGUUGCCGUCGGCGUGGACUUUCUCACCAUAUUCGUCUCCACCAAGAGCAACAUCAACACCAAUCUCUGCGUGAAAAGGUGCGUGCUUAAAUAAUCAUGAGGUCAACUCAACAGCGUGCAAAACAGCUACGACUAUUGGUUGUUGAUGGGCGAAAGGCCAUCAAACAACUGGAAAAGAAGCUACUCCAACUGGCAUCGUGGCAGGGGCACCAUGUUGAGGGAAUGAGCACUUAAAGGGUUAAGGUAGAACCCCAAACGCCAGAAGGUUGGCAACUUGCCUUCAUGCACCAUGGCUCUUUGACCUACAUGCUUUUAAUUUUUAUUUCAAUCUAAAACCUGAUGGUUGGUGACUACAAGCCAUAAACUAUAACAAAAUAAGCUAGAGUAUAAAAUUCAUAAAAUUGUAAUUUCGUUUAAAAUAAUUUUCAAUAA
rnacentral:lncRNA from 1 species